rnacentral:rRNA from 1 species
UACGUAGGGUGCAAGCGUUGUCCGGAAUUAUUGGGCGUAAAGAGCUCGUAGGCGGUUUGUCGCGUCUGCUGUGAAAAUCCAGGGCUUAACCCUGGACCUGCAGUGGGUACGGGCAGACUGGAGUGCGGUAGGGGAGAUCGGAAUUCCUGGUGUAGCGGUGAAAUGCGCAGAUAUCAGGAGGAACACCGGUGGCGAAGGCGGUUCUCUGGGCAUGUUCUGACGCUGAGGAGCGAAAGUGUGGGGAGCGAACAGG